CAUUAGCUUGUUGGCGGGGUAACGGCCCACCAAGGCAUCGAUGGAUAGGGGUUCUGAGAGGAAGGUCCCCCACAUUGGAACUGAGACACGGUCCAAACUCCUACGGGAGGCAGCAGUGAGGAAUAUUGGUCAAUGGGCGCUAGCCUGAACCAGCCAAGUAGCGUGAAGGAUGACUGCCCUAUGGGUUGUAAACUUCUUUUAUAUGGGAAUAAAGUGCAGUAUGUAUACUGCUUUGCAUGUACCUUAUGAAUAAGGAUCGGCUAACUCCGUGCCAGCAGCCGCGGUAAUACGGAGGAUCCGAGCGUUAUCCGGAUUUAUUGGGUUUAAAGGGAGCGUAGGCGGGUUGUUAAGUCAGUUGUGAAAGUUUGCGGCUCAACCGUAAAAUUGCAGUUGAUACUGGCAUCCUUGAGUACAGUAGAGGUAGGCGGAAUUCGUGGUGUAGCGGUGAAAUGCUUAGAUAUCACGAAGAACUCCGAUUGCGAAGGCAGCCUGCUGGACUGUAACUGACGCUGAUGCUCGAAAGUGUGGGUAUCAAACAGGAUUAGAUACCCUGGUAGUCCACACAGUAAACGAUGAAUACUCGCUGUUUGCGAUAUACAGUAA
rnacentral:rRNA from 1 species